rnacentral:lncRNA from 1 species
CAUCUUUGGAGACAAACCAGGGUUUUGUUGAAACAUUUUUAAGCAAGCAAACAAACAAAUGCUUGGUUGUCCAGAUAAUAGGAAGCAAGCUUUUUUUUUUUUUUUUUUAAAUAGCGCUUUAAUUAUUUUUUAAAAACCGUGGAGGCUGUAGAAACAAACUCGUUGGGCAAUCCGGUGCUUUUAUUCCUCUCAGGCGGCGUGGGGGCGUUAUGAGCCAUUGUUCCGGGGAUCCGACCCCCUCACCCGCCGUCACCUACUGCACGCGGCGGGGGUCGCGCUCCUUCAUCAUUUCUGAGCAGCGAGCUCAGCUUCCGACAGAGGAGCCGGCCUGGCGGGGCUGCCUGGGCUAGGUGCACCAGGGCGUCCGGAGCCGGGCAGGCAGCCCCCACCAUCCGCAAAGCGUGAGGAAGUCUUCCUGCGAGGCCGGCAGGCCGCGGGGGCUCAGGAGAGCUCCGCGCAUUGCCUACUGUAGACCCAGAGGCUUGUCAGAGGAGAGGCCGCCCGCCCCCACGCUCGACAUCCCGCGCGGGGUUACCCUCUUCCCUGCGCGGGCAGCAGCCCCCUCCCCUGCGUCGCCGGCGACUCGCACAGCACCGCCCGCUCCUGCGCGUUGCGCUCCUUGCCGGCGCCCGCCGCCUCCGCCUCCGCGUUCAGCGGGCGGGGGCGCCGGGCGACCCCCAAGGCAGGUGGGGGGUCCCAGGGUGGGACUUGGGGGUCUGGGGCAGGUGUGGGCUAAGGAGGAACGCCAGCCGGGCCCCCCUCGCUCCCGAGGCGAGCUGGGAGUCCUGGGAAACGUCUCCGCCACGGUGCAGAGCUCGCAGGUUAGCAUCUGUAAUUCUUCCUCCACAGUUCUGCUUGGCAUUUUCACAUAACUGUUGAAGACUGAAAGUUCUGAAAACGUGGAGCCACCAGCCGACUUCCCUUUCCGUCUCAUUAGUCGGGGUGGAGGCACAAGGCCAGCUGAGCUACGAGGGAAACAAGGAAGUGAGUUUCUGGCAACGGGAGGUGGGACGGUCGUGACCAGGCAAAGCGGCUGCUUCAGUGUCCCCGGAACGUUGAAAAAUAAGAGUUUUAUUUCCUUGUAAAAGUUAAUAGAUAAUCAUGAAGAAAGUUUGGAAAGAGGAAAAAAAAAAAAAUUCCCCCAAUGCGGCUGCUCAGCACCCUUUUAACACUUAUAAUCAUAUUGUACUGUGGGACUUUUUUUGACUUAACAUGAUUAGUUUAAAGCUCUAUGGUUUUUGAAAUCUAUUAUUUCGAAAUAAAACAUAAACCAAGGAGGUAGCA